GGUUUAGUAACAUAAUUGGCAAUGUAUGAGAUUGCAAAUCUUAAAAAGACAGUUCGAUUCUGUCCUAAACCU
rnacentral:tRNA from 1 species